AAGAGAGAGUGAGACAAACCAAAAUCAAGGGCAAGAAGAGCCAAGAACACCGUAGCCAUAUCAUAUAAACCAAAGGCCCAGCGGUGCACAUCAGAACACAGAAGGAGCAGAAAUAACCUGAACAGCACCAAGAUCAAGAUGGACGGCAUGUAUUACCCUCAGCGUUUCAGCAACGUGAUGAUCGGCUACCUCAACCUGGCGACGCUCCUGGCCUCCAUCCCGGUCAUCGGAGCAGGGCUCUGGCUGGCCAAGGGCUCAACGACGUCGUGCUCGUCGAUGCUGCAGACCCCGCUACUCAUCGUCGGCUUCAUCGUCCUCCUCAUCUCCCUCGCCGGCUUCGUGGGCGCCUGCUUCCACGUCGCCUGGGCGCUGUGGCUGUACCUCUUCGCCGUGAUGAUCCUCAUCGGCAUGCUGCUCGGGCUCACCAUGUUCGGGUUCGCCGUCACAGCAGGAGGCGGCGGCACGCAGAUGGCCGGCAGGCCGUACAGGGAGUACCACAUCUCCGACUACUCCUCAUGGCUCCAGAAGCAUAUCCAGGACAUCAAGUACUGGAAGCCGGCGCUCGCCUGCGUUGUUGGGUCCAAGGCCUGUCCUAAGAUCUCCAACUGGACUCCCAUGGAUUACCUCCAGCAUGAUCUCACGCCAAUACAGUCUGGCUGCUGCAAGCCACCAACAGCGUGCACAUACAGUGGUGGGAUGCCAGUAGGAGCACAGGACGAGGACUGCUUCCAGUGGAACAAUGCCCCGAACAUCCUGUGCUACCAGUGCAACUCAUGCAAGGCCGGCGUGAUGGAGCAGGUGCGCCAGGACUGGCACAAGAUCUCCGUGCUCAACGUCAUCGUGCUCGUCUUCCUCAUCUGCGUGUGUGCCUGCGGGUGUUGUGCCUUCAGAAACGCCCGCCGCUCCGUGUCCGAGUACCCAUACGGGGUAAACCGCAUGUCCAAGAUCAACCCACGCUGGGACUACUACUGGUACUUUCAGCCAAAAAAAAUAAAACAAAAUUAUGACUCUGUUUUUUCUUCACUUUUUGAUUUCAGAGAUGAAAACACAUUGCCACAUCUCAUCACUAGAAGUAAACAAUGGAGUUGUUUAUUUAGGAAAAAGUGCAUAUUCAACAAAAAAGAGGAUGUUUCUUUUAUUUUGAUGUUCACAACUGCAUAAUCAUGCUUGACUGCUUCUUCAUUAACGGGGUUCUUCAUGCAAAAGAUAAUCUGGUGGCGAUGGUUCCGCGAUAGGAGAGAACAGAUGUACUAGGCGCUAUUGGUACUCAACCCAUGUAUAAUAUUUCCUUCCUGAUAAAUGGCUGGGAGUUGGACCUGUUCCUUGUAGCACUAUGGUUUUCAUAUGUAAAUUUCCGUUUAGUGUCCAAUAAUUAACUUAAGUAGAUAUUUUAGUAUGAGGACAAGAUAGUGAAGUGGAAAGGGCACAUGAGCAUGCCUAAUUUCUCCAGUAUGGUAGCCAAAGCGUUUUGCAUUUUGUAGUACAUAUUCUGGUUGGAGAAUUCAAAAGAGAGGUGAUUUCUUGUCUAUGGAGGAAAAUCCACAGUCAGCUAUAUGACCAUGUCAGCACA